rnacentral:lncRNA from 1 species
UGUUAUCCCUUAUGAAUACAAUAAUUGAUGUGUAAAGAAUGUAUUGAAUGAGCAAUUGUGUGGGAUACAGGAGCACAAAUAUUUGACAAACAUGCAGACUUAGGUCUACUAUGUGGAACAGAUUUACAGAAUUACCACUAAUAUGAGAUAAAUUAUCUACAUGUUACAAGGAAUAAACAAAAAAUGUGAUAACCAAAGGAAUGUGUGAAUUUUGACAGAGAAAAUUAGAGGAGCAGUCACAGAUGUGGCAUUUGAGCUGACCUUUGAAUUAUGACUCUGUUGAAGGUAAACAGCAGGAGAAGAGCAUUGGAGCACCAAGAAUAGCAUAAGUGAUAAGUGAGAGGACAUUGUGGGCUACCUUAAAUGUCCACCAAUUAUUACAUUUGUUUGUAAUAAUGAGAUAUCAAAGCUUUGAAGAUUUUGGAUACCUGAUUGAAGCUUAAUAUCUGUAAUAUUUUAUUUUAUGAAUCCUAGAGAAAUGCUGAAAAAGAUUCAAUACUGAGCUUAUUGGAAAUGGAAAUGUAGUACUUAUCAAAUUCUGUGAAUCUCCCUGUAAAAGUACACUUUAUCUCUACUUAAUAAACUCAUCUGUAUAAGAUAUAUAAUACCUUGAGUGUAGUGUUCUUUUCAGUCCUCUCUCAUCACACUCCAAUGUAGCAUGUUGG